rnacentral:rRNA from 1 species
AGCGGCGAACGGGUGAGUAACACGUAGGUGAUCUGCCCAUCAGACGGGGACAACGAUUGGAAACGAUCGCUAAUACCGGAUAGGACGAAAGUUUAAAGGUGCUUCUGGCACCGCUGAUGGAUGAGCCUGCGGCGCAUUAGCUAGUUGGUAGGGUAAAGGCCUACCAAGGCGACGAUGCGUAGCCGACCUGAGAGGGUGAACGGCCACACUGGGACUGAGACACGGCCCAGACUCCUACGGGAGGCAGCAGUAGGGAAUCUUCGGCAAUGGGCGAAAGCCUGACCGAGCAACGCCGCGUGAAUGAUGAAGGCCUUCGGGUUGUAAAAUUCUGUUAUAAGGGAAGAACGACUUUAGUAGGAAAUGGCUAGAGUGUGACGGUACCUUAUGAGAAAGCCACGGCUAACUACGUGCCAGUAGCCGCGGUAAUACGUAGGUGGCGAGCGUUAUCCGGAAUUAUUGGGCGUAAAGAGCGCGCAGGUGGUUGAUUAAGUCUGAUGUGAAAGCCCACGGCUUAACCGUGGAGGGUCAUUGGAAACUGGUCGACUUGAGUGCAGAAGAGGGAAGUGGAAUUCCAUGUGUAGCGGUGAAAUGCGUAGAGAUAUGGAGGAACACCAGUGGCGAAGGCGGCUUCCUGGUCUGUAACUGACACUGAGGCGCGAAAGCGUGGGGAGCAAACAGGAUUAGAUACCCUGGUAGUCCACGCCGUAAACGAUGAGUGCUAAGUGU